AUACUUACCUGGCAGGAGAUACCAUGAUCAAGAAGGUGGUUCACUCCAGGGCCAGGCUCAGCCAUUGCACCGUUGUGUUGACUUCAUGCACUUCUAAAUGUGGGAAUCUCGAUCGCACACAAUUUCCUCUGAUAGUGGGGACUGCGCUCGCUUCUCCCCU